GAUCUGAUGAUAAGUUUUAAUUCACGCUUCUCCUGGUUCGUCCCAUGACAGGUCUUCUUUCUUUGACAAGAGGCUCUGUAAAACUGAUUAAGACUACAUGUAUAUAUUUCACCGUUUCUCUGUCGUUGUACAUGUGACUGACAUAAAAGCCCAAGUUAUGACUGACUAGCAGAGUCGAUUAAUCACUAUCUCGUUUCGGCUGUCGUUUUGUAGCAGUGAUUAACGCGCUAAUAGUAACAAAUUGAGCGUAAAUAGCGACAGCUGUUAUCUCUGUAGCAAAAAUGUAAGUCAGUUCAAAUGAGCCUAUUCAAACAUAUGUGAACUAGUCACUAUAACAGCGUGACCCGAUGUUAAUACGAUACGUAGCACAACAGUACGAUAACUUGCCCAAACGUGUUCGGUCAGUGACUGCCGCAGAGUAUAGUGCUAAUACUGGUCAGAAUAUAUCAGCUGACGAGUCAUUGCGCUGCGCGAUCCUAUUCACCCUACGAGACCCGGCUAGUUACCAACCAACCAACUCCCGUUUCUUCAGACACUGUCACCGCCAUCUUUCGAAAGAUAUCUGCAAUGUUCACCUGCGAAGGUUUUCAUGGCGUUGACUUCUACUGUUUCGUCAGUUUCGAUGAGCCGCUGACUGUUGAGGAUCAGCUCACAUUUGCUACAUUUCACCGAUGCCGCUAUGUUACAUCGUGUUUUUCAGUCCUCCUUCCCGUCCAUCUCAAGAUAAAGCCAGGUCCCGCCGCGCAGUCACGCUGGGCCCAUAGUUGGUUUACGACGACGAUGCUAAGACACGGAAAGUAACUACGGCUACACCAGGAAUACAUUCAAGGGCAGCAGAAUUUGUCGCUACUGCUGCUGCCGCUCCCUCUCAUUCCUAUGGUGGCACUGCUAUUGUUGUUUUGCAGUAGCUGACGGUCGUGAUGCUGUCACUCGUAGUGAUGGCAGUCUUUUCUGUCACGUCUACGGUAGCGACAGUGACGCAUACGCUGGCAGAAGGGACGGGACGUGCGAGCCCUCUAGACGACAGGCCGUUGUGAUUCGUCUAUUGUUGCGCUGUCGUAGUAACAAAAACUAUGUGUCUUCGUUUGUGUGUGUAUUAGAGCGGUGCGUUUAUAGGUGUCUAUGUAAGUUACUGAUUUUAUUCGUUGGCUUUCAGUUAGAUUCUUGUCUUUCUUGGAUUCAGUGACUGUGCUGGAGGCCUUUAUCAUAGUAUCCAGCGCAGCGGCGCUGCUGGUUGGUUGUUGGCCAGCUUGGUCGCUCUCAUAUCGCAUCUUACGUUCGCGUUCUCCCCACUACCUUUCUUUUUCUUUGAUUUCUCUAUUUCUUUAUCCAACAACCAUUUCCUCCUGUCCUUCAGCAGCGCUGCGCCCUGUGUGCUAAGCGUUGUUGCGUCUAUUGCUGCUUCAGUUUCUGUUUGGCACUAGUUUGCCCCUUCAAGGGACUGUCUGUUUAGUUGCCUCUCCAACGUUUGCCCGCUUUAUCAAAGAUGGUUCUAAGGGACAAAGGGAUUUUGGGCCACGGCGACAGGGAGAAAAUGGACUUGCAGGAACAACAUUGAAGUGAACCACGAAGGCAGCAUCGAAAGCGCACAAAAUGACACACCAUAAAAAGAGAAUAGUGAACAAAAACCAACAGGCAGAAGACCCCGUUGUUGGCGAGUGGUAAAAAUAACUGCGGCGAGCCCGCCGAAAAGGCCGUUCUCCGUGUACACGAGGAAGAGGCGGAAGGCUGCCGCGCAUUGAGAUAGAUGACUCACCAGUGACAGCAGCAGACGCGCGGCGCGGAUGGGUCGCUAGAAGCAGAUAGGGUGUUGUUAUUGUCGUCUGCUCUGCCAUCGUUAUUCGUGGCAGCCAUAACGAAACAAAUUGUAGCCAUGACUAUGAUGUGACGAUAAUAUAUAUAUUACGUUCCAUAAUAUUCCUUUGAAGAAGCUUACGAAACGAGAAUUCCUAAUCGAAAAUAAAGAAGACUACUAACAGAUGGACGAUAGAACAGUACCUAGUGUUUCAGUAAAUUACUUUUAUGACAAAUGAAUCUUCGUACAAUACAGCAACAUGCAACAUGAGAGCGUAUCUAUUUCCUCACCAAACAAUAGAUUGGUUUUGUUUGCGGUUUUUCUAGAAACGACAAGUGGGGUAUCUAUGGUUGACGCGUCCGUUUCAGCUUGUGAUCAAUGAUUUACACAAUGUCAAGGCCGUAUUACAAGCUACAAUACUUAUAGUGUCUUAUAAUCAUGAUAUCACUCUAAUUGAUGUCCGAGAGAUUUUUGGGAAGUUGACGCGAAACUAAAUACAGACAAUUUGCGGCGUAAUAUAUCCACAUGAAUCGAGCGUGAGUGUGAACAUUUCUCAUCGGAUAUACUUGUUUCGUUCCUAACUGUAGAUGUUUCAGUCCUAUAGACGUCACUUCUAUGAAAGACUCUGUAGGAAAAACUCAGUGGUAUGAAACCGAGAAAACCAUGCGAAACGAGCAUGAUCUGGAAAUUUUGAGUUCACUUAGUUUAACUUUCCAGAGGCCUCAACGGCAGGUACCGCUGGCUUGCCAUACUAUAUGCACUUAUUUUAAAGGCAAAAGUCUCAUUACGCCUGAUUAAUCCCAGGCAGCAAGAACCGGAGCGGACGAUACUGGGGUACCGUAAAGCGACUAAGGAGAAAAAUUCUCAGAGACCCCUAACCCUCAAGCGAAGCUGCGCAGAGAUACGGCAACUCUCGAGUAGAUCAGGACACGACGGCUGGCCAAACAGACCAACCAUCAAGCUUCAUCUAAUUUCAGUUUACCCAUUGUUUAAAUCUGUCAACGUACGCCCCACCGCCGAAACACUGGGACCAACCACAUAUUAGCCCAGUUAUAAACACAGUGAAUAUCCAAGAGGGUCAGAUUUGGACAAGAUGGCGGUAUGCGUUUAAAGGUCGACUUGAGGAUAUCUGCAUUAGCGAAGUUUAAGGAUCGCUUCA